ACUGAUGAAAAGAGAUGAGAAAAGAGGCCUCCUGCCAGUUUAUUAGGGGUUAUAAAUCUAUUCUCAGAUAUCAGCAACAGCUAAGCAAAGCAA